CCAAGCCAUUCUAUUUCUCCUUCAUAAAUCUUCUCCUUUCUUGAUUAUUGGUAAUCAUGUUUUUAAAGUGCACUACUAAUAUUUCAUAUUCAUUUCUUCUUUCUAUGUCUUCUAUUUCUUUUAAUAUUAUUUUUUAUUAAAAAUAGUCACAUUAAUUCAUCCAACUCCAUAAUAUAUCCUUUAUUUAAAAUAAUUGCCUUACACAUAUCAAAUUUCUUUGGUAGGCUACAAAAAAUCUAAUGAAUUAUUUUUGAUUCUUUUGAAUAUUUAUUUAGCUUUCAUAAUUAGUUCAAUAGCAAAUUAACCUAUUGAAGAUAAGUUAUAAUUGUUAUAUAUUCUU
rnacentral:lncRNA from 1 species